AUAAUGAAGAGUUAAUUAAGGGCGUACGGGGGAUGCCUAGGGUCUCAGAGGCGAAGAAGGGCGUGAUAAGCUGCGAAAAGCUACGGGGAAGAGCACAUAUCUGUUAAUCCGUAGAUACCCGAAUGGGGCAACCCAAUAGACUGAAGGUCUAUUAUUCUGACUAAGUUAGAAGGCGAACGUGGGGAACUGAAACAUCUAAGUACCCAUAGGAGAAGAAAACAACAGUGAUUCCGGAAGUAGUGGCGAGCGAACCCGGAUUAGCCCAAACCCGUGAUGUUACGGCAUUGCGGGGGUUAUAGGACUGCAUUUAGAAUUGCUUUUAAAUUUGAACGGGAUGGGAAACCCGGCCAUAGAGUGUGAUAGCCACGUAAGAGUAAUUGAAGCAGGACGAGCAGUAUCCUGAGUAGGUGGGGACCGGUGAAAUCCCCUCUGAAUUCGGCAGCACCAUCUGCCAAGGCUAAAUACUCCUGAGACACCGAUAGUGAACUAGUACUGUGAAGGAAAGGUGAAAAGCACGGGGAGUACCCGGGUGAAAUAGAACCUGAAACCGUACGCUUACAAGCGGUCGGAGCUAAGUGAUUUAGUGACGGCGUGCCUUUUGCAUAAUGAUCCUACGAGUUACGGUCACCAGCAAGGUUAAGAUUUUAAGAAUCGGAGCCGAAGCGAAAGCAAGUCUGAAUAGGGCGUUAAGUUGGUGGCUGUAGACGCGAAACCUAGUGAUCUACCCAUGGUCAGGUUGAAGGUUGGGUAAGACCAACUGGAGGACCGAACUGGUAUACGUUGAAAAGUGUUCAGAUGAACUGUGGGUAGGGGUGAAAGGCUAAUCAAACUGGGAAAUAGCUCGUACUCCCCGAAAUGUAUUUAGGUACAGCGUUGGAGUUAAGUCUUAUCGAGGUAGAGCUACCGAUUGGAUGCGGGGGAGUCACAUCCUACCAAAUUCAGACGAACUCCGAAUGCGAUAAGAUAUAUCCAGCAGUGAGGGCUCGGGUGCUAAGGUCCGGGUCCGAAAGGGAAAGAACCCAGAGCUACAGCUAAGGUCUCCAAAUCUAUACUAAGUUGAACAAAGGAAGUCCGACUGCCGAGACAGCCAGGAUGUUUGCUUGGAAGCAGCAAUCAUUUAAAGAGUGCGUAACAGCUCACUGGUCGAGCGGGGCGGGCAUCGAUAAUAAACGGGCAUAAAGUAUAGUACCGAAGCUUAGCAUUGUAAUAGUAAUAUUACACUGGUAGGGGAGCAUUCUGUCGACGGCGAAGGUGUACUUUGAGGUAUGCUGGAGUUUACAGAAAAGCAAAUGUAGGAAUAAGUAGCGAUAAUGUAUGUGAGAACCAUACACACCGAAAGACUAAGGAUUCCUCCGCUACGUCAAUCAACGGAGGGUUAGUCGGAUCCUAAGGAUAAUGCGAGAGCAGAUGCCGAUGGGAAGCAGUUUAAUAUUACUGCACCUGUGUACAGUGCGAAGUGGGGACGGAUUUUAAAGCUCGAUACGUAGAGACGGAAUUCUGCGUUGAGGGGAAGCUUCGGCGGAACCGAAUUGGGGGAUAAGAUUCCAAGAAAAGCCAAUAAGCUCUAGCUGUACAGAGACCGUACCGUAAACCGACACAGGUAGUCGAGGCGAGAAGCCUAAGGUGCUCGAGUGAUUCACGGCUAAGGAAUUAGGCAAAUUAACCCUGUAACUUCGGGAUAAAGGGAGCCACAGCAAUGUGGCCGCAGAGAAAUGGCCCAGGCGACUGUUUAGCAAAAACACAUGGCUAUGCGAAGAUUAAUGUCGACGUAUAUGGCCUGACACCUGCCCGGUGCUGGAAGGUUAAGAGGGGAUGUCAUCGCAAGAGAAGCAUUGAAUCGAAGCCCCAGUAAACGGCGGCCGUAACUAUAACGGUCCUAAGGUAGCGAAAUUCCUUGUCGGGUAAGUUCCGACCUGCACGAAUGGUGUAACGAUCUGGGCACUGUCUCAGCCGUGAGCUCGGCGAAAUUGUAGUGACGGUGAAGAUGCCGUCUACCCGCCACGGGACGGAAAGACCCCGUGAACCUUUACUAUAGCUUAGCGUUGGGACUGGGUAUCUGAUGUGUAGGAUAGGUGGGAGACUGUGAUGCGGCGUCGCCAGGCGUCGUUUAGUCAACGUUGAAAUACCACCCUUUAUAUAUCUGGUUCCUAACCUCUGAAAGGGGGACAUCGCUUGGUGGGUAGUUUGACUGGGGUGGUCGCCUCCAAAAGAGUAACGGAGGCUUCCAAAGGUUCCCUCAGCACGCUUGGUAACCGUGCGUUGAGUGCAAUAGCAAAAGGGAGCUUGACAGUGAGACCGACAAGUCGAUCUGGAUGGAAACAUGGGUAUAGUGAUCCGGUGGUUCUGCAUGGAAGGGCCAUCGCUCAAAGGAUAAAAGGUACUCCGGGGAUAACAGGCUGAUCUCCCCCAAGAGCUCAUAUCGACGGGGAGGUUUGGCACCUCGAUGUCGGCUCGUCACAUCCUGGGGCUGGAGAAGGUCCCAAGGGUUCGGCUGUUCGCCGAUUAAAGUGGCACGCGAGCUGGGUUCAGAACGUCGUGAGACAGUUCGGUCCCUAUCUGUGGUGGGCGUAGGAAGUUUGAGGGGUUCUGAUUUUAGUACGAGAGGACCGAAUUGGACGCACCUCUGGUGUAUCUGUUGUCUUGCCAAGGGCACGGCAGAGUAGCUAAGUGCGGAUGGGAUAAACGCUGAAAGCAUCUAAGUGUGAAACCCGCCUCAAGAUGAGACUUCCAUAGAGGAACGUUGGAGAUUACGACGUAGAUAGGCUACAGGUGAAAGUAUGGUAACAUAUUCAGCCGAGUAGUACUAAUGAACCGAAGACUCUUCAAAA
rnacentral:rRNA from 1 species